AUGUUACCACCCACCAGCAUGGCAAAGUUCUUCUUCGUGACUGAGCCAAAACAGCCUUUUGACAUUCAUUUGCUAUUGCUCUUGCUAUAUAUAUCUGUCUGUCUAUCAUUAUCGUUUGUGCUUUGUCCAUGUAUCUGUUUGUCUCUGUCUGUAUCUUUAUACAUUUGCCUGUCUGUCCAUUUGUGCAAUCCCCCCUAUGAUGCUUGUAGGAUUGCCGGUUGCAACACCAAAGACCUGGGAUCGCAUGAGUUGCCCUGCUGACGUCAAGUUUACUAGCAGCCAACGUCAAGUUUACCAGCAGUGGAUACGUUUCCUCGGAUUGGAUGAGCAGGAUGAAACUGUACAGGCAUCAUUUUGUAAUGCGUUUUUCAACCGGGAGUCUUUCUCAAACUAUUUACUGGUGGAGAUGGACUUUCAGAGGAGACUUCGGCUCAAAGAAGAUGUCAUUACGACAUCUAUCCAGACGGCGAGACUAAGUUUCUAUCACAAGAGAGAUCACCUACCAGACAGAUUCGCCACAGGCUUGCGAUUUCUCAGCACAGAAUCGGUGUGUCUUGCGAUACAACACCACUAGUAUGCAUGCCUGAAGCUUCAGUGCCUACUCGCAUGCCAGUGAAAAGAUCAAGAGUGGACUAUUCCACUGAUGACUACAGUUAUCAGUUAUCACUGACAUCAUCUGCAGCAUGGAACUGUAAGAUACUUUGUAGUGACAUUGUAAUGGUCAUGUAUGACUAAAUGUGUUGUUGCACUGAUACAUUUGAUAGGUGAAAUGUAUUGCUGUGCCAAAGUACUAGAUCUAGACUAAUGUAGACAGUGAAAAAAAUUGUACCUCAGACCUGCAAACUUUUAUCACUGCUACAGAGUCUCAGACACGCUUAUUCUUAUGGUGAGGAAGUACAUUGUGUACGAAGACUGCCUGCUGCAGCUUUUCCAAUCCUGUCCAGUUUGCACCAGAGAAUGUGAAAUCAUGAAGCAGUUCCAAAUUACCCUGAUCUACAUUGCCCAGAUUUGCCCUCACUGUGACAACACCAGGAUGUGGAUGAGUACAACACCCCUGCAGGCAACCUCCACCUGACUGCAGGUAUAGCUUUCACCGGCUCUUCUUUUGCUCAGACAACAAGUUCCUGAAUGCGCUAAAAGUGCAGACCACUUGCAAAUCAACCGACUACAGCCAUCAGUGAAAGGUACUGCAUCCAACCACAUACUGGCAUUGGAAGUCGGAGUAGAAAGUCCUCCUCCAGCAGUCUGUCGGGGAACCUGUGGAUCUUGGAGGGGAUAUGAAAGCAGACACCUGGCCACUGUGCAAAAUUUGUUUUAUGAAAUAUAUUUGCAUGCUGUCUACUUUUGAAUUCCAUGUGGACAAAGGCACACACAUGCCUGCAUGUCCAACGCAUAUUUGACCAUUCACACGCACAUACAAAAUCUCCACACUUCUCUUGAGUUGGACUGACAUUGAUCUCAACCUCUAACAUCUAACAGGGUCCUACACCAUGGUCAACUUGAACAUCAAUCAGAGGAGGAAGGGGAGGAUCAUCCUCCUCAGUGAAUUUCUUUUAAAAAAAAGGUAAAACAUUGAAAAACUAGACCAAAUAUAUUAAUGUCACCAAAUAAUUGAUUAAAACACACCGUUUUGCAAUUAAAGUCUACAGUAGCCUCAACAGCACUCUGUAGGGUAGCACCAUGGUGUAGCCGGAGGACAGCUAGCUUCCGUCCUCCUCUUGGUACAUUGCCUUCAAUACAAAACCUAGGAGGCUCUUGGUUCUCACCCCCUUACAUAGACUUACACAGUAAUUAUGAAAACUUACGGAGAAAGUCAUCCAACCUACCAGAGCUCUUGCAGCAUGAAUUGACAUGUUUCCAUCCAAUCAAAGGAUCAUAGAAGGAAUCUAGUACUGAAAGCAUAAGCUACAGCUAGCUAGCACUGCCAUGCAUAAUAUGUGGUGAAUAGUUGACUCAAAGAGAGAGAAAGACAACAGUUGAAUUCUUUUCAACAAAUACAUUUCUUCAAAAAUGAAGGAGAAGCAAGAGUGUCAUUUUUUUCACUUUCAGUUUCACUUAGCUAGCAAAUUCAGCUGGCUAGUUUAGUUACGCAAACACUCAAACAAAGGGAUUCUAUGUUAGCUAGCUGGCUAUGACUAUCCAACACAACACUGGAACUCUUCAAGUCAAGGUAAGCUUUUGGUUUUAUAAAAUGAUUACUACCGGGGCCCGCCGGUCUAACUGCUUACUGACUAUACACUGUAACAUUACUGAUUGUAGAGGGUUUACCAACGCAUUAGUUAUAUUACCUAUGUUGACUAGGACUUUACUUUAGCUAAUAUGGGGACAACGAUGUAGGCUGUGUAUAGCGGUUAUGACAUGGUUUGGCUUGGAAAGGUUUUUUCGCCUGGUCACAUACAGCUGAUGUGUUGUUCUUUGAAGUCCAAUCUGGCUGCUAUGAUCAGGGGUGUAUUCAUUCCGCCGAUUCUGUCAAAAAAAUGUUUCUUAAACGAAACUGGGAUAAAAAUACCUGAAUUUGUCCAAUAGAAACUCUAAGUUGCAUUUGUUGGAAUAGUGAUUACACCCUAGAUAAGCUAGAUGCAGGCAAGAGUGUGCAAGGCUGUAUUGAAUGUGUCACUGUCUGUCCAUGUGUCACUGUGUGUCAUCUCAAAAUGUUCUCUCGACCUGUGUGCACCUACGUUGUAAGCUUUCAUUCAUAGGCUAGGUUGUAGGGAAUAUUUGAGUAUCACGUAGUAGCCUAAACCUAUCGAUGUUACACUGAACUGGAUGAAUGGAAUAUGAAUGAGAGUCAUCCAACAUGCUGUAAUAGAAAUAAGGCCUUGCUCAUGAAAACAAAAGUGUUCUCCCUCAUCAUAAACAGCACCGACCACCACUGACAUCAUUAGAGUGUUGGACGUACAACUUGUACAGGUGAGCUUUUCAUCCAUGGAGUACCUUUUUCUGCCUAGAUAGGCGUCUCUGUGUCAUGUUGGUAAUGGCAUCUCUGAAUCCUGAUUUGGAAGCCUCUGCCCAGCCGCACAAAGAUUAAAGUAAACAUUUCCAAUAAUACUGUUUUUCGCUUACACAGAGCAACAAUGUUGGCAACAGCUUGAGAAUGGAGGAGGGACUGCUGAGGAGCCUUGCUGCCCUGGAGGAGGCAGAUGUCAGCAUUGGCUCCAUAGUCACAGAUCGACACACCUCGAUCCAGAAGUACCUGAGGGAGGAGAGGCCUGACAUCAAGCACUACUACUACAACCACCUGUACUGGUUGGCCUCAAUGUCAAAGUGUGGUGUGAAGAUGGUGGCAAGGUAGACAACGGUAGUUAACCACAUCCAAGAUGUUCACAGUCACGAUGACGACAUAUUCCCAAACUGCCUGCACCUACCCCUUACAGGUGCAGAGGCCAGGGAUUGGCUCAAACUGAGCACGGGUGAACUCUGCGUAUUUCUACAUUUCGUAGGGAGAUCAAAAUUAGAUGUAUGGAGACUUGGAGUCCAGACCGACAGACGGGAUUGAUACUGAUGUCUCUGAAUGGAGAGAGACCUUGCACUCAGCAUUAAGACACAACUUGUAUUUACUAGACACAAGUUGUAAUUGUGUAUUUCUUAUUAUUUCAUUGUACGUAUUCUACAUGGACCUGUUACUAAAUGUGGAAGUUAUCCAAACACCUAGUUUAUAAUAUCUACACAUGUUCAGCAAUUGCACUCUUAUUACUCUGUAGGCUACUAACCGAUUCAAAACUUCCUCUGGCAUCUAACCAUACAUCUGCCUGUAGUUAUUGGACUCAACCUGCAGGACCCAUGGGUUGAGGAAAACUCCCUUAUACACAGGAUGGAAUGUCAUGCACGACACCCCUCCUGCCACCUGAAUGCACAGAUCCAUAACCUGUAAUGCAUAAACACCCACUGGAGACUUGAGACAGCACAGCUUUGCCUAGAGAGCUGUGCAGUGUGCAUGUCAGUGUGUAGACAGUCAAAUCCUGUCCCUGUGGUGAGGGGGUGUAAGAAAGCUACUAUACACAACUUAUUUUGAUGCUAGGUAAAGUGUAUGCAUACUGUCUUCAUAUAAGCACAUCAAUAUGAUUUAUUUUUUUUACAGUAGAAAAGGUUGGUCUGUGUAGCACCAACACACACACAGAAUUAGAGUUGACAAAUCAACAUAAUACACAACAUACCUCUGCAACUUCCUUAGAGCACAAGUUCUGAAGCUUGGAAAGAUUUGUGCAAUGUUCAUAUGUGAACCUGAAGGGGAUAUUUAUAUGAGUAGUUCUGGGAUUAGUCAUCCUCUACAGAUCUAACAGCAGACAUAAGGUUGCUAGCUACUUUUGUAGCAAGAUGCGGUAGCAAACGAGUGUCAUGACACAAAUGCAGAAAAUGGCUCGCCAUCUUCUGCAUAACUGGAUAUGAUAGAGAAAUAUCAGCUAUCAUGUCUAGCUAGCUGCAGAUAUGGCUAGCUCACAGGAGGUUGGUGGCACCUUAAUUGGGGAGGACGGGCUCAUGGUAAUGGCUGGAUGUAUCAAAUACAUCAAACAUAUGGUUUCCAUGUGUUUUUGAUGCCAUUCCAUCUGCUCCGUUCCAGCCAUUAUUAUGAGUCAUCCUCCCCUCAGCAGCAUACACUGGGCUAGCUUGCCAUCAGCUUGGCUAAACAUAAAACGUCAGCGCAGGUGUUAGCGUACAGAACAGAAUAAUAGCUACCAUCGCUCGUUCUGAUUUAGGGCUAGCUAGCAGGCAGAAAAGCCAGGCAAAAUCAGUGAGUUUAGCUUCAGCAACAACAGAUAACAUUAGCUAGCUAGCAACACUGAAACCCCCAUUUCGUGAAUAUGUAUUAGUAGCCCAGGUCAUUCUUCGGAGGUGGAACAUAAACAAGCAUUUCCUCUCUAAGACAGGAAUGAUGUUGAAAUAGAGGCAGCACUGCCCUCUGGUGGGCACAUUUAAAAACAGUCUAAUUGAACCCUUCCCUGUCUCUGACCAUGAGAGAUUACAUAAAACUCAAAAAGUAGCCAGUGUGCUACUAAUCUUACUACCACUAGGCGUGUGUAGUUUCUGAUUGUGCUGCAGCAGCAGGAAGACAAGUGCAGUGUGUGCUCGCAUGGGUGUAGAGAAGCGGGGAGGGGACAUUUUCAAAGAUUCAAAAAUGAUAAAUUAGCUAUUUAGAUGGUCAAUUCUUCACAGAACAGGAGAGAAAAGAGAAUAAAAAUUAAAAUGUAUUAAUAAAAAAAUGCUACCAAUCUAAAAGUGCACCCCUAGAGGCCUAUCUGUGCACGUGCCUAUUGCCAACCAUCGCACCCUGUCAUCAUCCUAAUUUAUUAAAUAAGCAACUGCAUGACAGCGCAAGAAUUGAAAGGGAUCAAUAAUCUUACAGUAUAAACAUUUCGUAAAACUGACUGGAUGUUACGUGAUGUUUAAACUGCCAUUUUUUUAUCAUUAUGUUUAAAAAUAAACAAAACAUUUUAUUAAAUUAUGUGAAUUCACAAUCCAGAUAUGGUUAUGCGUAUGACCACUAGGGGCAAUGCAGUUCAAUCAACCGCAGUCCUGGCUACCUACCUACCAGUUCACACUAGUUACCACAACCACAAACUCACAAAGCCUGCCUAUUUCUACAACUGAUCUUCUUAAAAUAGGAUUUUAAACCUAACCCUAACCACCCUGCUAACCUUAUACCUUAAUGAUCAUUUUUGUUUCAAUGAACUUUUACAAUAUACAGUUAAAGU